rnacentral:siRNA from 1 species
UGAAGGGAUGCCUCCACGUAGC